rnacentral:rRNA from 1 species
CACCAGCGCCACAAGUGGGGACCCGUUUUAUUGGGCCUAAAGCGUCCGUAGCCGGUUUAGUAAAUCUUUUGUGAAAUCGUCGGGCUUAACCUGACGGCGUGCAGAAGAAACUGCUAAACUUGAGACCGGGAGGAGUCAGAGGUAUUCCAUGGGUAGCGGUAAAAUGCAAUAAUCCAUGGAAGACCACCUGUGGCGGAGGCGUCUGACUAGAACGGUUCUGACGGUGAGGGACGAAAGCCAGGGGAGCGAACCG